GAUGAACGCUGGCGGCGUGCCUAAUACAUGCAAGUCGAGCGAACGGACGAGAAGCUUGCUUUUCUGAUGUUAGCGGCGGACGGGUGAGUAACACGUGGAUAACCUACCUAUACGACUGGGAUAACUUCGGGAAACCGGAGCUAAUACCGGAUAAUAUUUUGAACCGCAUGGUUCAAAAGUGAAAGACGGUCUUGCUGUCACUUAUAGAUGGAUCCGCGCUGCAUUAGCUAGUUGGUAAGGUAACGGCUUACCAAGGCAACGAUGCAUAGCCGACCUGAGAGGGUGAUCGGCCACACGGGAACUGAGACACGGUCCAGACUCCUACGGGAGGCAGCAGUAGGGAAUCUUCCGCAAUGGGCGAAAGCCUGACGGAGCAACGCCGCGUGAGUGAUGAAGGUCUUCGGAUCGGAAAACUCUGUUAGUAGGGAAGAACAUAUGUGUAAUUAACUGUGCACAUCUUGACGGUACCUGGUCAAAAAGCCACGGCUAACUACGUG
rnacentral:rRNA from 1 species